rnacentral:rRNA from 1 species
CCUACGGGUGGCAGCAGUGAGGAAUAUUGGUCAAUGGGCUGACGCCUGAACCAGCCAAGUCGCGUGAGGGAAUACGGCCCUAUGGGUUGUAAACCUCUUUUGCCAGGGAGCAACGGCGGCGACGUGUAGCCGGCCGGAGAGUACCCGGAGAAAAAGCAUCGGCUAACUCCGUGCCAGCAGCCGCGGUAAUACGGAGGAUGCGAGCGUUAUCCGGAUUUAUUGGGUUUAAAGGGUGCGUAGGCGGGAUUCCAAGUCAGCGGUAAAAUCGCGGGGCUCAACCCCGCUCGGCCGUUGAAACUGGGGUCCUUGAGUGGGCGAGAAGAAGGCGGAAUGCGUGGUGUAGCGGUGAAAUGCAUAGAUAUCACGCAGAACCCCGAUUGCGAAGGCAGCCUUCCGGCGCCCAACUGACGCUGAGGCACGAAAGUGCGGGGAUCGAACAGGAUUAGAUACCCUUGUAGUC